GGCCGGAGCUCAGGAGAGGCGCCGUUUGCCGGUUCCCGGAGCCGCCCUGUUGCCGCCGCCUCCUUCCUCCGCUCGCGGUGAGCCCGUCAGUCCCCGCACUGUGCUCGCCUCCGUCUGGGCCAUGGAUGGCGGGGGUCUGAUGAGCUUCUUUCUUCUGGCAUCAUUAACGGACCUUUUACCAUGAACAAUUCCACUCCUUCUGCAGGUGUAUACGAUGGCAGCAGCCGAAGACGAGUUACUGCUCCCGCGGCUCCCCGAGCUGUUCGAAACCAGCAAGCAGCUUUUGGACGAAGUGGAAAUCGCAGCUGAACCCACCGGCUCCCGAAUAAUCCAAGAUAAGGUGUUCAAGGGACUGGAUCUCCUGAAGAAGGCUGCUGAAAUGUUGUCGCAGCUCGACUUGUUCAGCCAGAAUGAAGAUUUGGAGGAGAUCGCGUCCACCGACCUGAAGUACCUGAUGGUGCCAGCAUUUCAAGGAGCAUUCGCCAUGAAACAAGUCAGUCCCAGCAAGCGUCUAGAUCAUUUGUGGUGGGCUCGAGAACACUUUUUAAACUACUUAACUCAGUGCCAGUACUAUCACGUGGCAAAGUUUGAGCUGCCCCAGACCAAGACCAACUUAGCUGAAAAUAACACUGCUGAUUCCUCCAUGGCCUAUCCUAGCAUCGUUGCUAUGGCAUCUCAGAGGCAGGCUAAAAAAGAGAGAUACAAGCAGAAGAAGGAGGUGGAGCAUAGGUUGUCUGCACUGAAAUCUGCUGUGGAAAGUGGUCAAGCAGAUGAUGAGCAUGUUCGUGAAUAUUACCUCCUUCACCUUCGAAGGUGGAUUGGUAUCAGCUUAGAAGAGAUUGAGAGCAUUGACCAGGAGAUAAAGAUCUUGAGAGAAAAAGACUCCACAAACGAGGCAUCAACUUCUCAGUCAUCUCAUCAGGACAGGCCUCCAAUGAAACCAUUUGUUCUCACUCAGAACGUGGCCCAAGCCAAAGUAUUUGGAGCUGGUUAUCCAAGUCUGGCAUCUAUGACAGUGAAUGACUGGUAUGAACAGCAUCGGAAAUUUGGAGCAUUACCAGAUCAGGGGAUAGCCACUACAAUGUCAGAGUUCAAAAGAGCAGCUCAGCAACAAGAAGAUCAGGAGCAUGAGGAGGAAGAGGAAGACGAACAGGCAGUCCGCAGAGCUCGCGAGUGGGAUGACUGGAAGGACACCCAUCCUAGAGGCUGUGGCAACCGGCAGAACAUGGGUUAGCCUCCCCCAAUAAGGCAGGACAACAGGGGCUUACGUCUUCCCCACCAAAGACAGCAGUGCUGUCUCCCCGUCCCUGCUCUUCUGCUUCAGCUCUGCACAGUGAAGGCAGAGAUGCUUAGUCUUGCUUAAUAUUCAAUAAAAUGUCAAGCAAUGAAGUGUGUAUUUGUACCCUAAAUGAUAAGCCAGAAAUCUUUUGGAAUUAAUCAUUCUCAUCAUGAUAUAUUUUAAUUUUCUUAAGUAGAAAGAAAAGAGGACUGAGAAAUGGCUCUGUAUAAUCAAUCAAUGGUUGUAUGAAUUAUCUUUAAAAAAAAAAAAAAGGUCCCUUCUAUCACAUGCGCCUGUGCAGAAAA